rnacentral:rRNA from 1 species
GACGAACGCUGGCGGCGUGCUUAACACAUGCAAGUCGAACGGAAAGGCCCUGCUUUUGUGGGGUGCUCGAGUGGCGAACGGGUGAGUAACACGUGAGUAACCUGCCCUUGACUUUGGGAUAACUUCAGGAAACUGGGGCUAAUACCGGAUAGGAUCUCCUGCUGCAUGGUGGGGGUUGGAAAGUUUCGGCGGUUGGGGAUGGACUCGCGGCUCAUCAGCUUGUUGGUGGGGUAGUGGCUUACCAAGCCUUUGACGGGUAGCCGGCCUGCGAGGGUGACCGGCGACAUUGGGACUGAGAUACGGCCCAGACUCCUACGGGAGGCAGCAGUGGGGAAUAUUGCACAAUGGGCGGAAGCCUGAUGCAGCAACGCCGCGUGCGGGAUGACGGCCUUCGGGUUGUAAACCGCUUUCGCCUGUGACGAAGCGUGAGUGACGGUAAUGGGUAAAGAAGCACCGGCUAACUACGUG